rnacentral:rRNA from 1 species
CUACGAAAACUGCCCAAUGUGGGAAACCACGAGGCGGGCAUUCCGAGUGCCAACGCAUUGCGUUGGCUGUUCUUUCGCCUAAAAAGCGAGAGAAGUAAGGGCCGGGUAAGACGGGUGCCAGCCGCCGCGGUAAUACCCGCGGCCCGAGUGGUGCUCUUUGUUAUUGAGCUUAAAGCGUCCGUAGCCGGCCUUGUAAAUCCUUGGGUAAAUCGGGCAGCUCAACUGUUCGAAUUCCGAGGAGACUGCAAGGCUCGGGACCGGGAGAGGCUAGAGGUACUCUCGGGGUAGGGGUAAAAUCCUGUAAUCCUGAGAGGACCACCAGUGGCGAAGGCGUCUAGCUAGAACGGAUCCGACGGUGAGGGACGAAGCCCUGGGGCGCAAACGGGAUUAGAUACCCCGGUAGUCCAGGGUGUAAACGCUGCGGGCUUGGUGUCGGAGGUCCUACGAGGGCGUCCGGUGCCGGAGAGAAAUUGUUAAGCCUGCCGCUUGGGGAGUACGGUCGCAAGACUGAAACUUAAAGGAAUUGGCGGGAGAGCACCGCAACGGGAGGAGCGUGCGGUUAC